UACGAAUGGGGCAAGCGUUGUUCGGAAUCACUGGGCUUAAAGCGUGCGUAGGCGGAUAUGAAAGUCAGAAGUGAAAGCCUGGGGCUUAACCCUAGAACUGCUUUUGAAACUUCAUAUCUCGAAUCCGGUAGAGGUCAGGAGAAUUCCUAGUGUAGAGGUGAAAUUCGCAGAUAUUAGGAGGAACACCAGUGGCGAAGGCGCCUGACUGGGCCGGUAUUGACGCUGAGGCACGAAAGCGUGGGGAGCAAACAGG
rnacentral:rRNA from 1 species